rnacentral:lncRNA from 1 species
AUGUAUUAUUUCCACUUUGUCAACAGAACAGACCGUUUGAAUGAGCUUACUUUAAUUUCUGGCGCGAAAAGUCUUAACCUACAGAGCAGUGCGCGCACGUGGAUUCUGAUAGGAGGACAUUUUCUGAGAGAGAGUCUCCUCUUCUGGAUGUUCACUGAUUUCUCUUGUGAGGAGUCAUGAGCGCUGCUGGAAUCAGUCGCGUGUGUUUGCCGCACCGUCAAAAACAAUACAAACACUCCUAUGGUCAGUUGCACACGCAUGUCUCGCGACGAUGAUGAUAACGCUGUCUAAAACUGCGAAUAUUUUCGGAUCACUGUAGCGUUACCAUAGAGAAUGAAGCACACGCGGCGGAGGGAGUAGCGCAGACGCGUAGUGAGGGUCGGGGGAUUGGAUGCUGCCUAUAUUUCCUCCAACUCAUGUCAGUUUGGAUGAAGGAGGUGAGCAGGUGCUGACCAAUCACAGUCACCGGCGAGACGACAGCUCCGUGCGUCCAUUCUAAGUUCACACAGCACGUAUAUCGGAGACCGGGGCUAGUUGUCACAAGGGUUGUGGUUCUAUCUAACUAACUAUAAGGUUUGAGUCAAAAGUACCAAAUGCAUUUUUUUAUUGCAACCUCCAAAACUAAGAUUUAAACAUUAUAUUUUUGAUAUAGUCUUUCAAGUUGUCACAUGAGAUAUAGGCUGUAUUUUGUAAUUUUAUUCAAUUGCAAUUCAUUCAUUGAAAUUUCUGUUGGUUUGCUAUUUUGUAUGCAUCCUGUUUUGAUAUAUAUAUAUAUAUAUUUUUUGCAGCUGUAAUUGUUUUGUGUUUCCCUUUUUACUGUUUAAAUUUCCUUUUUAAAUAUUAAAUUUUUUAUGCAUUUAAUAAAAAGUGAGACAACUUGCCCUGAUCUCCACUGUUGUUGCAGUUAUAGCUUUAGAUAUUAAAUUAUUAAAUUGAAUAGUUCCGUCUUGGCUUCUGAUUCGUCAAACACAAUGUUCCAGCCGAGCUAAAAGUCCAUGAUAUAGUAACAGCUAUGACAUGAAACACCUGUUCAUCUUACUGCCCAGCUCGUCUUCUCGUAACCUAAUGUGAGAUUUAACAACAUGCAAAGUAUAACUUCAUUCAACUGAUAUUACAUUUAGUUAUGGGAAGUUUUGUUAUACACACAUUUCAUUCUGUCCAUGUCCAUGCACCUAUGAAUGCACUUAGUUUGGCACACUCAGGCAAUAUGACCUACUUUUAAUGAUGCAUUAAAUUAUAUAUUACUGAUAUGUUCCAUUCAGACAGAGCUGUGGACACUUAAUUAACCAAUGUAGAAUUUAACCCCCCACACCCCAUCCUGUAAUUCGCACCAUAGUCAUAUGAUCUUACAGUAAUGCAGCCUCCAGCUAUCAGGUGGCAAGUACACAUGUUAAAUCUAUUAGAUGGACCUAAUGGGAUUUUCACAUUCAGACUCAAUUAGUCAGAUAUAUAACCCAGCAGUGCUCCAAGAUAACCUCCUGAGACCCAAAACAAGGAAUC